GGGCCCGUAGUUCAGUUGGGAGAACGCCGCAUUCGCAUUGCGGAGAUCAGCGGUUCGACUCCGCUCGGGUCCA
rnacentral:tRNA from 1 species